GUGGGGAAUCUUAGACAAUGGGGGCAACCCUGAUCUAGCCAUGCCGCGUGAGUGAUGAAGGCCUUAGGGUCGUAAAGCUCUUUCAGUGGGGACGAUAAUGACGGUACCCACAGAAGAAGCCCCGGCUAACUUCGUGCCAGCAGCCGCGGUAAUACGAAGGGGGCUAGCGUUGUUCGGAUUUACUGGGCGUAAAGCGCACGUAGGCGGAUCGUUAAGUCGGGGGUGAAAUCCUGGAGCUCAACUCCAGAACUGCCUUCGAUACUGGCGAUCUUGAGUCCGGAAGAGGUGAGUGGAACUCCUAGUGUAGAGGUGGAAUUCGUAGAUAUUAGGAAGAACACCAGUGGCGAAGGCGGCUCACUGGUCCGGUACUGACGCUGAGGUGCGAAAGCGUGGGGAGCAAACAGGAUUAGAAACCCGGGUAGUCC
rnacentral:rRNA from 1 species